AUACGGAGGGUGCAAGCGUUGUUCGGAAUCACUGGGCGUAAAGGGCGCGCAGGCGGUUUGGUAAGUCAGAUGUGAAAGCCCACGGCUCAACCGUGGAAGUGCAUUUGAAACUGCCAGACUUGAGUACCAGAGGGGAAAGUGGAAUUCCCGGUGUAGAGGUGAAAUUCGUAGAUAUCGGGAGGAAUACCGGUGGCUAAGGCGACUUUCUGGCUGGAUACUGACGCUGAGGCGCGAAAGCGUGGGGAGCAAACAGGAUUAGAUACCCUAGUAGUCC
rnacentral:rRNA from 1 species